GUGCUCCCUUUACCAGCACACAUACAAUACUGAAACAAUACAGAGUUUAGCAUGGUCCUAUGCAAAUAUGACCCCCAAAUUCAUGAAGUGUCACAUUUUUUU